rnacentral:rRNA from 1 species
GAUGAACGCUGGCGGCGUGCCUAAUACAUGCAAGUCGAGCGAACGGACGAGAAGCUUGCUUCCCUGAUGUUAGCGGCGGACGGGUGAGUAACACGUGGAUAACCUACCUAUAAGACUGGGAUAACUUCGGGAAACCGGAGCUAAUACCGGAUAAUAUUUUGAACCGCAUGGUUCAAAAGUGAAAGACGGUCUUGCCGUCACUUAUAGAUGGAUCCGCGCUGCAUUAGCUAGUUGGUAAGGUAACGGCUUACCAAGGCAACGAUGCAUAGCCGACCUGAGAGGGUGAUCGGCCACACUGGAACUGAGACACGGUCCAGACUCCUACGGGAGGCAGCAGUAGGGAAUCUUCCGCAAUGGGCGAAAGCCUGACGGAGCAACGCCGCGUGAGUGAUGAAGGUCUUCGGAUCGUAAAACUCUGUUAUUAGGGAAGAACAUAUGUGUAAGUAACUGUGCACAUCUUGACGGUACCUAAUCAGAAAGCCACGGCUAACUACGUG